rnacentral:rRNA from 1 species
AUUGAACGCUGGCGGCAUGCCUUACACAUGCAAGUCGAACGGCAGCACGGGAGCAAUCCUGGUGGCGAGUGGCGAACGGGUGAGUAAUAUAUCGGAACGUGCCCAGUAGUGGGGGAUAACUGCUCGAAAGAGCAGAUAAUACCGCAUACGACCUGAGGGUGAAAGGGGGGGAUCGCAAGACCUUUAGCUAUUGGAGCGGACGAUAUCAGAUUAGCUAGUUGGUGGGGUAAAGGCCUACCAAGGCAACGAUCUGUAGUUGGUCUGAGAGGACGACCAGCCACACUGGGACUGAGACACGGCCCAGACUCCUACGGGAUGCAGCAGUGGGGAAUUUUGGACAAUGGGCGCAAGCCUGAUCCAGCAAUGCCGCGUGCAGGAAGAAGGCCUUCGGGUUGUAAACUGCUUUUGUCAGGGAAGAAAUCCUCUAGGUUAAUACCCUUGGGGGGAUGACGGUACCUGAAGAAUAAGCACCGGCUAACUACGUGCCAGCAGCCGCCGUAAUAC